CAAUUUUGCUCCGAUUUUCAAAUAUAGCAUUUUUUCUGAAAGGAAAUUAGACUGGGGUGAUACUUUCAAGAGGUUAUUUUUUGAUUUUCUCAGCUGUUUUCAUAAUAAAUGGGGAAAACCUGGAAAAAAACAGGAAAAUAGGUACAAGAUUAAACAAAUAUUAUUAAAGAAAAUAUAUGAUGCAUAAUAAUUGUGUAUGUAAUUAUUUUACCAUAAUCUGACAUACAUAUUGUCGACAAAGCAACACUAUUAACCGAGCUUCGCUCAGAAUUGUUAUUCGUUAGCAAUGGUUAACAGAUAUACUUACAUUAAAUUUUCCCUUUACCUUCCCUGCAACUUUUCACCUACACCAGUGACCCACUCACCCGUGCGAAAUACAUCCGUCUUUUUUUUCAUUUGUAUUAUUAUUAUUAUUGUUAUAUUUACGAAUUUACUGAUAAAAUCAAUGCCGUGAUAAUGCGUGUUUUUAGGGGCAAAGUGAAUUUAAUUAAUGGAUAAAUCCACUUUUGGCUAGUGGAUUAUAGACGUCGCAAUCGAUAGAUUUAUUUUAUGUGUACCUAUGUAUUUAUAUUGUAGACUACUUGUAGUUUGAAAAAAGAAAAAAAAUGCUCGUAUACAUAGGUAUUUAUAUUGAUGUUGUUAUUAUUGUAUUGAACUUUGAUUUUCUACUCUUCUAUGCACCUAUGCCUACCUUUAUAGUUAUAUUUAACGUAUGGAC